CAAUAGACAAGGGACUUCACUCCCUCUGGAGGCUGCUGCAUCAGCCUGCUAGAUGGAGUUCCUACCAGUAGGAUUAAACAAUAGAGCCUUGCAUUUGCAGUUUGGGUUUCUGUCCUUCAAGAGAACAAGGAAUAUGGAAGAGAAGAAUUCUCUAAGACAUGGGGACUCAUUUUUGCUGUUCCUACUGAGACUACAUCAUCCCCUUUUGUUGGCACUGCAUGAAUUGCAGAAAAUUGGGCAAGAGUAAACAACUCAGAGGAAAUAUGUUGGCUUGGGAGAGUAAGCUCUGUGUUCCACCCAUCAGCCAGCAGCACUCCUAACCUCAGCAACCCUCAGAAAGCACCAGAGGGCAGAACCAGUAGCUGCCACAACUGUUACUGCACCCUGGAAACUUCUGUGCCAUCAGUAGUACCAGGUAUACCAUGAAUACAGAUGUCAGUUGCAUGAGUGAAUGUAGCCCCACAAUCAUAUACUCCAAUAUUCAGUAAGGAGAGCUGAGGAGAGCCCCAGUGUUAUAUCUGAUGCUAACAAGCCUCUCCUGACCAUAGGCACACUCACAAGGCAGCUCAAAUCUCCCUAGGAAUGAGUUUCCUCUAACUGUAAUAUGUCCCCCAAGAAACAUGCUAUCUGCUCCUUCAGCCUCCUGUCAGAGCAGUAUAACAUAACCAGAUACAGCAGGGCACCCAGUGCAUGGCCAAGGAAAAGUAGCACACUCAGUAGCCAGGAACCCAAUCUGGAACCAGGGACCCUCGCACCUGCUAGAAAUACCGUCUUGGCAGAACACUCAAGAAGACAGUACCUGAAUAGCAACUGAUAUGCCAAUAGCCACUCAACGCAAUCAAUGUUCUUCAAAGGCAGACCACGAGACAAAGAUUCUGGAAGUACUUUCAUGCCUGUAUCCUAACUGGCCCAAUCCUGAUGGUGACCUUAUUUCUCAAGAGUCAGGGAGCUCACACAUUGCUCAACACUCAACAACUAAGACUCCACAGAACUGCAAACUGCAGCAGCACAGGAAGAAAUCCCCCCAGUCUCAGCGAAGGCAGCAAAGAAUUGAAGUGACUAAGUUAAUGAACACCAUCCUGUUCUGACUCCGUUUUGUGACUGCUUAGAUAGUUUUUAGCCCUCCACUUUCUUUCCCCAAUGUUCACGUCUGCCUUGAUAACACAUUUGAGAUUUUCAUGGCCUUAUUAUCCAAAAUUGACAAGUUAUGAUCAAAAUUACUACUAUGCUCUAACCCCAUCAUUGAUGUAAAUUGUGGUCUUUGUUGGUUUUGCCUUUUAAAACUCUAUAUCCAUGAGCUUGGGCACCAAGAGACUUUUCAGAGGCUCAAGCCCAUUUUUGGUCUGGCCAUCAAUAAAAAGGACUGAAAACCUUUAA